rnacentral:rRNA from 1 species
GUUGUAUGGUUAAGUGACUAAGCGUACACGGUGGAUGCCUUGGCAGUCAGAGGCGAUGAAAGACGUAGUAACUUGCGAUAAGCCCAGAUUAGGUAGUAACAACCAUUUGAGUCUGGGAUUUCUGAAUGGGGAAACCCACRUGCAUAAGCAYGUAUCAUUAACUGAAUACAUAGGUUAAUGAGGCGAACCGGGGGAACUGAAACAUCUAAGUACCCCGAGGAAAAGAAAUCAACCGAGAUUCCGAAAGUAGCGGCGAGCGAAAUUGGACUAGCCCUUAAGCUUUAUAUGCGUUAGACGAACGGUCUGGAAAGUCCGGCGAUACAGGGUGAUAGCCCCGUAGUCGACAACGCACAUUCAGUGAAAUCGAGUAGGGCGGGACACGUGAUAUCCUGUCUGAAUAUGGGGGGACCAUCCUCCAAGGCUAAAUACUACUGACUGACCGAUAGUGAACCAGUACCGUGAGGGAAAGGCGAAAAGAACCCCUGUGAGGGGAGUGAAAUAGAACCUGAAACCGUGUACGUACAAGCAGUAGGAGCACCUUCGUGGUGUGACUGCGUACCUUUUGUAUAAUGGGUCAGCGACUUAUAUUCAGUAGCAAGGUUAACCAUCUAGGGGAGCCGUAGAGAAAUCGAGUCUUAACUGGGCGUCGAGUUGCUGGAUAUAGACCCGAAACCAGGUGAUCUAGCCAUGGGCAGGUUGAAGGUUGAGUAACAUCAACUGGAGGACCGAACCGACUAAUGUUGAAAAAUUAGCGGAUGACUUGUGGCUAGGGGUGAAAGGCCAAUCAAACCUGGAGAUAGCUGGUUCUCCCCGAAAUCUAUUUAGGUAGAGCCUCGGACGAAUACUACUGGGGGUAGAGCACUGUUAAGGCUAGGGGGUCAUCCCGACUUACCAACCCUUUGCAAACUCCGAAUACCAGUAAGUACUAUCCGGGAGACACACRGCGGGUGCUAACGUCCGUCGUGGAGAGGGAAACAACCCAGACCGCCAGCUAAGGUCCCAAAUUAUUACUAAGUGGGAAACGAUGUGGGAAGGCUUAGACAGCUAGGAUGUUGGCUUAGAAGCAGCCAUCAUUUAAAGAAAGCGUAAUAGCUCACUAGUCGAGUCGGCCUGCGCGGAAGAUGUAACGGGGCUAAGUAAUAAACCGAAGCUGCGGCAAUGUCCUUUGGRCAUUGGGUAGGGGAGCGUUCUGUAAGCCGUUGAAGGUGUGUUGUAAAGCAUGCUGGAGGUAUCAGAAGUGCGAAUGCUGACAUGAGUAACGAUAAAGGGGGUGAAAAACCCCCUCGCCGGAAGACCAAGGGUUCCUGUCCAACGUUAAUCGGGGCAGGGUAAGUCGACCCCUAAGGCGAGGCCGAAAGGCGUAGUCGAUGGGAAACGGGUUAAUAUUCCCGUACUUCUUAYAAUUGCGAUGGGGGGACGGAGAAGGCUAGGUGGGCCUGGCGACGGUUGUCCAGGUUCAAGUGCGUAGGCUUAAGAGUUAGGUAAAUCCGGCUCUUUYUAAGGCUGAGACACGACGUCGAGCUACUACGGUAGUGAAGUCAUUGAUGCCAUGCUUCCAGGAAAAGCCUCUAAGCUUCAGAUUAUAAGGAAUCGUACCCCAAACCGACACAGGUGGUCGGGUAGAGAAUACCAAGGCGCUUGAGAGAACUCGGGUGAAGGAACUAGGCAAAAUGGUACCGUAACUUCGGGAGAAGGUACGCUCUUGUCGGUGAAGUCCCUUG